UUGUAGUGUCUGUACCCCUGUACCUCUGGACAUACUUUGGAACUAAAUUAUACUAUUAUGCAAGGUUGUUUCUAAUGACAGUAAACUGCAUAAUGAUGUUUCAAAUUAUUUUGCGCAAGGUUGUUUCUAACGACUUGUCCAUUUGCUUAUUUCCUUGUUCAGUUUGAAACCAGUCGUUUGGAGCAAAUCAGCUCAAAAGAGAUCCUUUGUACCAUUUGCAGACUACCCACCUUCCUCUGGCCUGGAGUCUCGCUCGCCUCUGUUUUCCCCCUAUGGACACACAUGAGACUCAGAUCUUGGCUUGUCAUAGAGGAAUUGAUAGCAAGAAUCAACCAGAGAAAGGAUGUACACAAGGUGUUUAAAGAUUUACUUUGUUCCAACGCCUACUUUGGAUCAUAGGAAACUAAAAAAAAGAGGGCGCCGCCACCACCGUCAUCAGGCUGGCCCACAUCCACGCGCUGCUCGGCGUCACCAGGUCACCGGCACAACUCCUCACGCCCAGGUCAUUGAACAUUUUCGGCUGCUUUUGGUGCGCCACAUUUAGAGUCUUUCUUUCCCAUUUUACCGUGUUUGCAUGGUAAGAUGUUUGGUCGGAUUUGAAGGUUCCUAGCCUUGACUCCAAAGCUUCAAGCUCUUAUAGAAAUUAGAACUGAGGGCCUUUUAAAAUGAGUCCUGCAUAAUAGUGUUGUUCAGUGGGAUGCAGAAUUUUUUUUGUCUGAUCGGCUAUCCUUGGUGCUGAUUUAAGUACUGAUUUCAUCAUCAUAUGACCACAAUAAAGAAGCUGUGUGUAUAAAUAUUACUAACUGCUGAUACUUUGCAUCAGUGAUUUCAAUUAUGUUGGCCCUCCUUAAGAUUGCUUGGGAAUGUGAGGCUUAAAAGUUUCAACCCUGUGCAAUGUGCUUCUCGGGUGUGGAUUUGUGUUUGACUAAUUAACGGUUCUGUACUUAUAGCAAGUGAAUUUUUUUCUCAUAUUAAUAUGUGCCCGAAUAAUAUUAAUGAACACUCUCUUAAUACAUGAUUUACUCUUGGCCUUUGCGUCAUUGGCCCAACGGUGAUCUAGUCUGUCAUAACGCGCGCUCGAA